GUCAUGUCACAAACCAAAUCUCCGGAAAAUACAAAUAAUACACACAAAAACAGGAUGUAGGCUAGAGCUACCCAGCAACAGUCUAGAGGUAUUCCACUUUCGUAUAAAUAUGAAGAAAACCGAACUCGCCUGGUGCUGGUUGCUGUUUCUGCUGCUACAGGUUGUGAGCACGCUAGCCUGCAAGAGGAAGUCGUCGUGCCGUCCGCCGCGCUGUCCGGGCGGUUGCAAGCCCAAGUACUGGUGACCUGCGGACUGACGGCCUAGCGAACUGUCGGCCUGGUGAGCUGGGAUCUACUGACAACUCGGCACACAGCUCACUAUACUACUACUGCAGGACGUCCGGGAACUAUUGGCCAUGAAGAUGCUAGAAAACUGGAUCUCCUCCACAUGCACAUUAUUUAAACCCUUUGAAGAAAUGUUGUAUUACGGUUUAAUGUUUACAAUGUAAUUGAAUAAAACUAAUUGUGAAUUUUA